AGCGAACGCUGGCGGCAGGCCUAACACAUGCAAGUCGAACGGACCCUUCGGGGUUAGUGGCGGACGGGUGAGUAACACGUGGGAACGUGCCUUUAGGUUCGGAAUAGCUCCUGGAAACGGGUGGUAAUGCCGAAUGUGCCCUUCGGGGGAAAGAUUUAUCGCCUUUAGAGCGGCCCGCGUCUGAUUAGCUAGUUGGUGAGGUAAGGGCUCACCAAGGCAACGAUCAGUAGCUGGUCUGAGAGGAUGACCAGCCACAUUGGGACUGAGACACGGCCCAAACUCCUACGGGAGGCAGCAGUGGGGAAUCUUGCGCAAUGGGCGAAAGCCUGACGCAGCCAUGCCGCGUGAAUGAUGAAGGUCUUAGGAUUGUAAAACUCUUUCACCGGGGACGAUAAUGACGGUACCCGGAGAAGAAGCCCCGGCUAACUUCGUGCCAGCCGCCGCGGUAACAC
rnacentral:rRNA from 1 species